rnacentral:pre_miRNA from 1 species
UGGAGGAACAGCCCCAGUGGCGGGGCCAGCUCUGGAGCCCUGGAUUCAGCCCCCGCAGGAACUCCGGAGCUCUCGGUCUGCAGGGCCUGGAGGCUCCGGGCGGGG